GUUGAAACAAAAGGGUAAGACCUUCAGUCGUUGAAACAAAGCUUGGAUAAAACUGAUAGAAGCAUUCAUGUUAAAAACGUAUUAAAUGGAGUAUUUUAAAAUACAGAGAGAAGAGGAAGAGAAUAAUGAACAAAAACCCCCACAACACUUUGUAGUCUAAUACCUUCUGGAAGUUUCUAAGGAGCACUGCCAAGAAAAACUAACUUCCAAGCCUGCAAAGGCACCUGACAGCACCUUUCAAAUAAAAGGCAAAGGUCAUUUAAGAAAGUGAGGGUAACCCAUGCUAUAGAACAGACAUGGAGAACUCUUGGCGAUUCAUCUGCAUCUUACUAAAGGAAACAAAAAAUACCUUCCUAAAUGUAUUCCACAGGAGAGAAUUCAAACAAGCAAUAAAUUAAUCGUCAUACUCCCAUCUGAUAUACCUACUUCUGAGUAGAGAGGUGGAGGCAGAAAACGAAACUCCUGGAUGUAUGCAAAUAAUGGUCCUUGAAGCGCUCUCUCAAAAUCAUCACAAGCAGCUAUGGGUGCAAGGCUGGACUGUCUCUGUUCCUCUGUGACCACUUCUGCAUAGCUAGGAGGUGCUGAAGGGAAAAGGUACACGCAGUUCGAACAACAA